UACGAAGGGGGCUAGCGUUACUCGGAUUGACUGGGCGUAAAGGGCGCGUAGGCGGCUUGUACAGUCAGACGUGAAAUUCCUGGGCUCAACCUGGGGGCUGCGUUUGAUACGUGCGGGCUUGAGUUCGGAAGAGGGUCGUGGAAUUCCCAGUGUAGAGGUGAAAUUCGUAGAUAUUGGGAAGAACACCGGUGGCGAAGGCGGCGACCUGGUCCGAUACUGACGCUGAGGCGCGAAAGCUAGGGGAGCGAACAGG
rnacentral:rRNA from 1 species